CCCAUAGUCAUCCCAAAAAUCCUUCACUAAGUUUCUUGGACAAAAGAAUCCUUCUUAGAUAAAUGGAUUGAGGAUGUACCAAAGCCUUUAACAAUGAAUAACUCUUGAUUUCUCAUUGCUUUCCUUCCCCCAAAGUGAUUGUCAUUUGACUCCUCUAGGGCAGUCUUCUCUUUACUUGCCACCUGAAGUGAUUGACAAACUAGUACCCACCCUUCUUCAUUAAGAAAACACUAAGAUAUCACUGGAAAGAAGAGGUCAUUUUAUUUAACUGCAGGAUUAGAGGAGUGAUACAAAGGAGAUGAGAUUGUGAACUGGAUUUUGAAAUAUUAACUCAGACUGAAUUUCAAAAAAUCAUAUCCUUUCUUAAGAUUCCUGUAAAAGGCUAUUUACAAACAGUAUAUUCUCCUGAAGUUGCCUCCCCUCAUCCAAGAUCUCUGAGUAAUUAUCCUGAUAUAUAUCUAUAUUUUUAGGAAGUAUUGAGAAAAAUAAUUUGGAAAACUUGGUGAUGAAGAAGAUACUCCAAGUACAGAGGAUGGUGGUGUUGACAAUGAACCAAAUUGUAUGAGAAUUUCUUUACCUCUUUUACUACCUCCACAUUGUAUAAGUAAGAGAGAAGAUGAAGUGCAUCUGCAAAGAAGAUAGAGAUGCAGGGAAAAGAUUCUAGAGUGUGGAGGAAAAAGGGAAGACAGUUUACUGGGCUUGUGAUCUGGGUCUUUCUCGGGUUUUGACCUGGAGAGACUGGGUACUUGCCCUUGUCUGUUUCUACCUUAUCUUUUCCAUCUUAACUGCUUCCCUAUUGGCUGGUUGAUAUCUACAGAGCUUCCUGGUUUGAUCCUGAACCAUCUGGGCCAUCUGUCUAUAAGAUUAGGUCUAGAGUCCUUCUGAUCCAUGACUUCUCCUUGGACUCUCUCCUGCCUAACUGCCAAACCUCACUACUUCUAUUACCAUCAAAGGGCGGAGAGAGACUAACUAUUCAAUGCCCCAUGCCUGGAUAAGGGACAGGAAGGGUUGACAAGAGUGGAAAAGAAGAGAAAUCCAGGUUCUUCGAGUUUCCAGUGUGGAGAGAGAAAAUACACCAUAACAACAACUCUUUAGUACCAACCUACACAGAGAGAAAAGACUGUGGGAAGAAGAGAAGACCUAGAGAUUUAACCAUUUCUCUAUUCACAGCUUGUUACACCAGACUUCAAUGAAUUUUCUCCCCUUGGGUAAGACCUAGAAUCUUCUUGGCUUAUCUUGCACACAAUGGGGAGAAUUUCUAUUAAUUAAAUAUUAUUAUAAACUAUUAUUACUACCCUACUUUAAUGGGAUUGGAAGUCAUUGUAAAACUCAG
rnacentral:lncRNA from 1 species